AUACGAAGGGCCCGAGCGUUGCGCGGAAUUAUUGGGCUUAAAGGGUGCGUAGGCGGACCCGUUAGUGCUUUGUGAAAUCCCACGGCUCAACCGUGGAACUGCUCGGCAUACUGCGGGUCUUGAGGUCGGUAGAGGUCGCCGGAACUCUUGGUGUAGCGGUGAAAUGCGUAGAUAUCAAGAGGAACGCCAAUGGUGAAGACAGGCGGCUGGGCCGAUUCUGACGCUGAGGCACGAAAGCGUGGGUAGCGAACGGGAUUAGAAACCCCGGUAGUCC
rnacentral:rRNA from 1 species